rnacentral:rRNA from 1 species
GAUUAACGCUGGCGGCGUGCACAACACAUGCAAGUCGAACGAUGAAACUUAACUGAUUUCUUCGGAAUGAUUUUAAGUGGCUUAGUGGCGGACGGGUGAGUAACGCGUGAGUAACCUGCCUUGGAGAAGGGGAUAGCCUUUGGAAACGAAGAAUAAUACCCUAUGAUAUGAUAAUAUCUCAUGAUAUUAUCAUCAAAGAUUUAUCGCUCUAAGAUGGACUUGCGUCUGAUUAGUUAGUUGGUGAGGUAACAGCUCACCAAGGCAGCGAUCAGUAGCCGGCUUGAGAGAGUGUACGGCCACAUUGGGACUGAGACACGGCCCAGACUCCUACGGGAGGCAGCAGUGGGGAAUUUUGCACAAUGGGGGAAACCCUGAUGCAGCGACGCCGCGUGAUUUAGAAGGCCUUCGGGUUGUAAAAAUCUUUUGUAUGGGAAGAAAAUGACAGUACCAUACGAAUAAGGACCGGCUAAUUACGUG